rnacentral:misc_RNA from 1 species
GAUGAAGAACGUAUCAAAAUGCGAUACUUGGUGUGAAUUGCAGAAUCCCAUGAACCAUCGAGUUUUUGAACGCAAGUUGCGCCCGAAGCCUUUUGGCCGAGGGCACGUCUGCCUGGGCGUCAUGCAUCGCGUCGCCCCCCACAAUUCUCCGUAAAAGGAACAUGUGUUUUGGGGGCGGAUAUUGGUCUCCCGUGCUCAUGGCGUGGUUGGCCGAAAUAGGAGUCCUUUCGAUGGACGCACGAACUAGUGGUGGUCGUAAAAACCCUCGUCUUUUGUUUCGUGCUGUUGCUCGCAAGGUAAACUCUUUAAAAACCCCAAUGUGUCGUCUCUUGACGACGCUUCGACCGCGACCCCAGGUCAGGCGGGACUACCCGCUGAGUUUAAGCAUAUCAAUAAGCGGAGGA